rnacentral:rRNA from 1 species
GGGCCCGCACAAGCGGUGGAGCAUGUGGUUUAAUUCGAUGAUACGCGAGGAACCUUACCAGGGCUUAAAUGCAGAACGACAGACUGGGAAACCAGUCCUUCUUCGGACGAUCUGCAAGGUGCUGCAUGGUUGUCGUCAGCUCGUGCCGUGAGGUGUCGGGUUAAGUCCCAUAACGAGCGCAACCCCUAUCCUUAGUUGCCAGCGAGUAAUGUCGGGGACUCUAAGGAAACUGCCUGCGCAAGCAGUGAGGAAGGUGGGAUGACGUCAAAUCAUCACGGCCCUUACGUCCUGGGCUACACACGUGCUACAAUGGCCGGUACAGAGGGCAGCCCACACCGCAAGGUGGAGCG